GGAGGCGUGGUGUAGUGGUUAACACACCGGCCUGUCACGCCGGAGAUCGCGGGUUCGAUCCCCGUCGCCUCCG
rnacentral:tRNA from 2 species